AACGGACGCUGGCGGCAUGCCUAACACAUGCAAGUCGAACGAAGGCUUCGGCGUUAGUGGCGCACGGGUGCGAAACGCGUGGGAAUCUGCCGCUCGACUCGGAAUAAAAGUUAGAAAUGACUGCUAAUACCGUACGAUGACUGCGGUUCAAAGAUUUAACGCUGAGGGAUGAGCCCGCGUAAGAUUAGGUAGUUGGUGGGGUAAAGGCAUACCAAGGCGACGAUCUUUAGCUGGUCUGAGAGGAUGAUCAGCCACACUGGGACUGAGACACGGCCCAGACUCCUACGGGAGGCAGCAGUGGGGAAUAUUGGACAAUGGGCGAAAGCCUGAUCCAGCAAUGCCGCGUGAGUGAUGAAGGCCUUAGGGUUGUAAGGCUCUUUUACCAGGGAUGAUAAUGACAGUACCUGGAGAAUAAGCUCCGGCUAACUCCGUGCCAGCCGCCGCAGUAA
rnacentral:rRNA from 1 species